CUUUCUUUGCUGGCGACCGGCGCACGGGUGAGUAACACGUAUCCAACCUGCCCUUUACUCGGGGAUAGCCUUUCGAAAGAAAGAUUAAUACCCGAUAGCAUAAUGAUUCCGCAUGGUUUCAUUAUUAAAGGAUUCCGGUAAAGGAUGGGGAUGCGUUCCAUUAGGUUGUUGGUGAGGUAACGGCUCACCAAGCCUUCGAUGGAUAGGGGUUCUGAGGGGAAGGUCCCCCACAUUGGAACUGAGACACGGUCCAA
rnacentral:rRNA from 1 species